CGAUUCAAAUCUUUCUCAGCCGAAUUAGUAAAUUUCUUCAACUUUGAUGGAAAAUGGGUUCAUAAAUUCAACCCAGAGUCGCCUAAACCAUUCUAUUAUAAUGAAAAUUCAUCAACAAAUGUUCCAGUGUUUACUCUAAGAGACAAUUUCAAGUAUGGUACAAUCUCUCAGUACAAUGCAAGAUAUUUUAAACUUCCCGUCCAGGUAUUUGAAAAGUGUUAAAACUUUUACAUUAAACGAUUAAAUAAUAACUAAUUUUCAAUAUCUUGUUCCUCAACAACAACAGAAUCCAAAUGAUGCCUCUUUAGGCUGGACAAUAGUUUUCUCCAAUGAGACAAAAGGACUUGUAGAAGUAGUGAAUAACUUGAAAACAAUAAACUUUUCCCAAUUGAAUGAAUCUUAUGGCCCAGCGACUGUUACUUUACCGCAAUUCACUUUUUCAUUCGAAUAUGAUGCAAAAACGACUUUCCAAAAGACCGGAUUAUACUAUCCAUUUGGAUUUGCUGCUGACUUUUCUGACUUCGCCCAGAGUCGAUUAAGAAUCAGAUAUGCGACUCAGAAAUCAUAUCUCAGUUUCAAUGAACAUGGAAGUCAAGCAGCUUCCGUUUUUGGACUGAAUUUCGAAAGAACACCAACAGAAUCCGAAACUGAACCAUCACAACCUGGAGAUUCAUUCGCACAGCCUGCAUAUGAACCAAUACCACCCACAGUUGCAGCACACUACCCGUAUGAUGACAAUGUAUCGGCAUCAGUUCCAGUUUUCAAUGUUAACAGACCAUUCCUGGCAUUGUACGGAAAUUCCAAAAAUAUCUUCUUCAUCUCUGUUGUUAAUAAGCUAUAAAAUAGCAGCAAUUGAAUGAUUUCCACUUAUUAUAACUGACAUAUGCUCAAUACGGAUUCACGUAUUAAUUAAUGACAUGGCUUGAUUUAAUUUCUUCUUUUAAUCAUUGUACGUUAAAGAUGUACUCAUCUAUCACUUGACAUCUUCAAUUGUACAUUUAACCAAUAAACUUUUA